GGCUCGGUAGCUAAAUUGGCAAAGCACUCGUCUAGCAUACAAGAGUCGAUGGUUCGAGUCCCUCCUGAGCAC
rfam:Aedes aegypti strain Liverpool supercont1.66 genomic scaffold, whole genome shotgun sequence.